AUUGAACGCUGGCGGCAUGCCUAACACAUGCAAGUCGAUCGGAGCGGCGGACGGGUGAGUAAUGCCUAGGACUCUGCCUGGUAGUGGGGGAUAACGUCCGGCAACGGGCGCUAAUCCCGCAUACUAUCAGAUGAGCCUCGGUCGGAUUCGCUAGUUGGUGGGGUAAAGGCCUACCAAGGCGACGCUCCGUAACUGGUCUGAGAGGAUGAUCAGUCACACUGGAACUGAGACACGGUCCAGACUCCUACGGGAGGCAGCAGUGGGGAAUAUUGGACAAUGGGCGAAAGCCUGAUCCAGCCAUGCCGCGUGUGUGAAGAAGGUCUUCGGAUGGUAAAGCACUUUAAGUUGGGAGGCGUUACCAACAGAAUAAGCACCGGCUAACUUCGUGCCAGCCGCCGCGGUAAUAC
rnacentral:rRNA from 1 species